UGCAGAUAAUGACAUUUAUUGAAACAAAUGUACUAAGAAACAAAGACACUAAGACAACUUAGUAUAACACUGUGACAUGAAACAAAACACCGAGACAUGAACGACAAGAGUCUAGGACAACGAAAGACAAGCAAACAGUGCAGACAAGGACUAUAUAUAUACACACACACACACACAGAAGUGCUCAUUAACAAAACGUGAGUCAGGUGCAGGUGGUCAUGUGACAGCUAGUGCAGUGCAGUGGCUGAUGGGAAGUGGAGUUCAGAGUUUCUUGAUACGUGACAGAACCCUCCCCCAAGGGCGCUACUCCCGGAGCGCCCAAAAUUAUACGUCCUCCAUCUGGUGGUCCUGGCCCCCUGGGAAAAAUGUCCCCAGCAGAACCAGGGGGCACAGGGAGCGGCUUCCACAACGGCACAGGGAGGCUGAGAUACUUCCUCAGCUGAACAAGGAGGCUGAGCGACGUCCUCGGCUGAACAGGGAGGCUGAGCGACGUCCACGGCUGAACAGGGAGGCUGAGCGACGUCCACGGCUGAACAGGGAGGCUGAGCGACGUCCUCGGCGGAGCAUGAAAGCGGAGCGACGUCCUCGGCGGAGCAUGAAAGCGGAGCGACAUCCGUAAUAAGUGAGAGAGGGUGG
ensembl:lncRNA